rnacentral:rRNA from 1 species
UAGGUGACCUGCGGAGGAUCAUUACUGAAUCAGUCAAACGGGUUGUUGCUGGUCCUCAAACGGGGACACGUGCACGCUCUGUUUACACAUCCACUCACACCUGUGCACCCUCUGUAGUUCUAUGGUCUGGGGGACCCUGUCUUCCUGCCGUGGUUCUAUGUCUUUACACACACGCUGUAAUAAAGUCUUAUGGAAUGUAUGCCGCGUCUAACGCAAUACAAUACAACUUUCAGCAACGGAUCUCUUGGCUCUCGCAUCGAUGAAGAACGCAGCGAAAUGCGAUAAGUAAUGUGAAUUGCAGAAUUCAGUGAAUCAUCGAAUCUUUGAACGCACCUUGCGCCCCUUGGCUAUUCCGAGGGGCAUGCCUGUUUGAGUAUCAUGAACACCUCAACUCUCAUGGUUCGCCGUGAUGAGCUUGGACUCUGGGGGUUUUGCUGGCCUGUGGUCGGCUCCCCUCAAAUGAAUCAGCCUCCCAGUGUUUGGUGGCAUCACGGGUGUGAUAAAUAUCUACGCUCAUGGUUGUCUGCCAGGUGACCUUUGGUGACAAAGGUUUGCUGGAGCUUACAGAUGUCUCUCCUCAGUGAGGACAGCUUUUUGAACGUUCGAUCUCAAAUCAGGUAGGACUACCCGCUGAACUUAAA